UGUGUAGAGGCAGGGAAAUAUGCUGUGUUUUCUCUUUCGGUAAAUCCUUGUUUCUCACAGU
ensembl:miRNA mdo-mir-7398c mdo-mir-7398c